rnacentral:rRNA from 1 species
UACAGAGGGGGCAAGCGUUAUUCGGAAUUAUUGGGCGUAAAGGGCGCGUAGGCGGCUUUGCAAGUGACGGGUGAAAUCCCUCGGCUUAACCGAGGAACUGCCUGUCAGACUGCAUGGCUUGAGACCGGGAGAGGUGAGUGGAAUUCCCAGUGUAGCGGUGAAAUGCGUAGAUAUUGGGAGGAACACCAGUGGCGAAGGCGGCUCACUGGACCGGUACUGACGCUAAUGCGCGAAAGCGUGGGGAGCAAACAGG